CUUGUAUGCGCACGAGUUCCUCCCUCUUCGUCUCGUCGCCUCCUCUCAAUCCCUAAUUCCCCAAACCUCUUCCGAUGUGAUAAUUCCUUGCAGGUGCCGCCUGGUGGAAUUAUAGAGAGACGAGCCAACGAAGCAAAGGGAUUUUGAUCUAAUCUGUGGACGUCGGUCAGCCGAUUGUUGCGGCAUAAUCUGGUGCUAAUCCACCAAGUCUAGAUCGACUCUUCCUAGGAACUUUGGAUUUACAUUGACAAUUUCCGAGCGUACCAAAGAUUUGCCAAUUUGGAUGUCAUGGAUGAUCUUGCUAAAGUGUUGGUGGGCACUAGGAAGCAUCUUGUUUUUCCUUUGGUGUAUCAACUUCUAAAGUUCGUGCAAAUUUUGACGGUUGCCACAACGUCAGUGGAGAGAUGCUUUUCAGCAAUGAAUACUGUCAAAAGUGUUUUGCGCAACAAAAUGGGUGUCGAGUUCCUGAAUGAGUGAUUGAUUUGCUAAGCGGGGAAAGAUAUAUUUUCUACUAUUACAAACCAUGAUGUGAUUGAUCUAUUUAAUAAGAUGGAAGAUUGAGAAAGGAGGUUAUAAAAUAAAGUAACAACAUGAAGUGCUUUAAGUUAACCUUUGGCUUUAUGACUUUGCUCAGCCUAUACUCGGUAUGACUUUUUUAAUGUAAUAAUAUUAUUAUUGAAUCAUUGUAUAUUUUC